GGGCAGUCAGUGCGCAUAGCCAAGUUGCAGCAGGUUCUGGAUAUCUAUAUGGGUCUCUGACAGUUUGGAGCCGGUGGAACCUGUGUGUGCUUGGGUGCUGUGGGCCUCCUAGGAGUGUAAUUGUAUGUCCCCAAGGUAUGUUAUACUGAGUGACCGAGUGAAAGGGAACGUACAGUUAUGAAUAUAACUACUGUUUCCCGAAGGAGGGAAUGAGGUAUAACUUAUUUUGCCACCACCACGCCCUCAGGUGGUUUAGCCUGAAGGGUGGUACUGAAUUGAGGAAAUAUUAAAUAUUAUAUUAUAACCAGUUGAAUAGGUAUGUGAUACCACGUUCCCUCCUUCAGGGAACAGUAUAUAUAUUCCUAACUGUACUUUACUCACACAUGUUGUCAACACCCUGAGGUAAUCAACUGGUUGACGGGAAAUCAAUAUUACUGAACAUGAAUCCAUUGUGAAAUGCAAUGGGAGGUCGUUUUAUUGGAAGAUCUUUUUUUAGACAGUGGACUAGAUUAACAACAGUAUUAGAGAAUGAAGAGUCAAUAUUAAUAUUGACACGUGUUUUAUAUUCACCAUGGGUAUAAACAAACUGUGUACAAGGACUAACCCUAACCGUAUCCCUGUGCACAAUGACUGACCCAGGAAGCAAAGUGACAUUGAACCAACUCUCUGACAUAAGCAGCCAACCAUGACCCUUCUCUGCUCUCCUCAGUCCCAACUAAACGUCAUGCAGCUGAGUUGUCUCCAUGCAGCAGCCGCCGACACUAUGGCGCCUACGCCCGUCCACAUGAAACCCCUGGAGGAAAAGGGGUCAGAGGUAAGGAACCACCCCCGAGCUCGCCGUGCGUCCUCCGACGGAAACAACAGGGUCAAAUCAGCCCUCCAAGAGAAGCGCAUCACCACCAUCCCAGAGCUGGCCGAGUCCUUCAAAAGGAGACUGAGGCUCCACAACAAGAAGGUCAUGUCCACGAGGGAAGCGGACAGCCAUGAAGACAUAGGUAAUGGAGGAGGAGGAGUCCAGGAGUUGCAAUGCUCACACCGCUUCCACAAAGAGGUGAGGUCACAACACACUCCUAUAACCCUGACCCUAACACUAACCUGCAUGUCCCCUAUAUACCCUCUGUACUGGAGUUAUUUGUUAGUUAACCUGUUUACAGUGUACCCCAGCAACCUGCAUGUCCCCUAUAUACCCUCUGUACUAUACAACACUGGAGGCUCCUCAGAGAAGGAGGUGGAGAUCCAUCC
rnacentral:lncRNA from 13 species